CAACCUGCCGACAACUCUGGGAUAGCCUUUCGAAAGAAAGAUUAAUACCGGAUGGUAUAAUUAUUCCGCAUGGGAUUAUUAUUAAAGAAUUUCGGUUGUCGAUGGGGAUGCGUUCCAUUAGGCAGUUGGCGGGGUAACGGCCCACCAAACCAACGAUGGAUAGGGGUUCUGAGAGGAAGGUCCCCCACAUUGGAACUGAGACACGGUCCAAACUCCUACGGGAGGCAGCAGUGAGGAAUAUUGGUCAAUGGACGAGAGUCUGAACCAGCCAAGUAGCGUGAAGGAUGACUGCCCUAUGGGUUGUAAACUUCUUUUAUACGGGAAUAAAGUGAGCCACGUGUGGCUUUUUGUAUGUACCGUAUGAAUAAGGAUCGGCUAACUCCGUGCCAGCAGCCGCGGUAAUACGGAGGAUCCGAGCGUUAUCCGGAUUUAUUGGGUUUAAAGGGUGCGUAGGUGGUUUAAUAAGUCAGCGGUGAAAGUUUGCAGCUUAACUGUAAAAAUGCCGUUGAAACUGUUAGACUUGAGUGUAAAUGAGGUAGGCGGAAUGCGUGGUGUAGCGGUGAAAUGCUUAGAUAUCACGAAGAACUCCGAUUG
rnacentral:rRNA from 1 species